AAGAAAUUAGUUAAAUUUAUAACCUAUGUUUGUCAUGCAUAAAUUAUCCUUAUAGAUAUUUCUUA
rnacentral:tRNA from 1 species